CAAAAACAACCACGCAUUAAUAUAAUAUCUCUCAUCUUUGGGUUUAUAACAUUAUGUGUGGUUAAUUGAUUAGAACAAUAGAUAUAAAUUUCAGGGUUUGAUGACAAUAGAUAUAACCGGAAUGCAAGUGUUUGGAGUUAAUUCAUUAUUUUAGAGGUAAAAUCAAGCUUCAAGAAUGCAGCACCUUUAAGUGUUUUUAUAGUUUUUGUAACAAAGAAGAAAAAAGUGAUAGCUAAAUGUAUUGCCCCUGUGCAAGAGUAAUACAGAGACCAGAAGCAGCUUCACAUCUCAUUAGCUUGAAAACAUUGGCUAGAAACGAAAAUAAAGAUCGCUAAAAGUUAGUGUUUAUAAGGUACAAUAAAGACUGACGUCUAUGCAUUUGGUGCUGUUCUUUUUUAGUUGAUAUCAGGAAAAGAAGCCAUUACACGAACAAGAGUUGUUAUUAAGAAAAACUCUAAGAGACUGUCGUUGGCAUUCAUUGGGAAUUGGAUAGGACUCCUGGAGAGAUUUUUAUGAAACUUAAAGAAGUCAGGAAUAAGAUCGUGUAAGUGUAUAGCGGGAGGAUCCAUUGCCAUCUCAAAACAAGAAAUUCUGGAUAUGGACGAGUGAAAGCUACAUGGCUGUUUACUGUGCUGAAGUGCUUGAGUUGUAAGGAAAUGCUAGCGAAGAUUUGAAAGUGAAGAGCAUCACUCCGAGGCACUUGCGAUUAGUAAUUUGUGGUGAUGAAGAACUUGACACAGGGUUGUAAGGGAUGUCAUUCGCAGAGUAAACAACCAAUAAAGUAAGUCAAAGUCCAACUAUAAGAACAAAGAAGAUAAAGUUUAAAGUGUUAACGUACAGGUUGCUUUAUUUAAACAAAAAACUUACUUAUUGGGUUUUAAAUUCUAAUGAUUUUAGUACAUCAACUAUAAGAACAAAGAAGAUAAAGUUUAAAAUGUUAAGGUACAGGUUGGUUACCGGUGAAAAGAAGAUAAGUUUGGAGGCCGGGAUUGUGAAAAAAAUUUACAGCGUAAUGGUGUAGAAAAGAUAAGAGGUACUGUUAUGAUUUGCAGGCUAAUGGUUUACCUUUUAUUUUCGCAUAAGCAAAUCCAUGGCUUAAUUAUGUCUUUACAUUUGUGUAUAUAUGUUGCUUUAUGAUCUAAACAUAUGGGUUAUUUGUUUUGUAUAUAUAUGUUGCUUCAUGCUUCAAAUUUCUCUUUGCUAUGUAAAAAGAUGGUCACACAAUGGUCAGUAAAAAAAUUUCUUUUAUUUUGCUUUCAA